CGAACGUGGGUGACCUACCUCGAAGUGAGGGAUACCGGCGAGAAAUCGCCGACAAUCCCGCAUAGGUUUCUUUCUUUGAGAGAGGAGGGAAACAAAGCUUUUUUUCGUGAGAAGAGAGGCGCUUUGAGAUGGGCCCGCGGCCGAUUAGCUAGUUGGUGGGGUAAGAGCCUACCAAGGCGUCGAUCGGUAGCUGGUCUGAGAGGACGAUCAGCCACACUGGGAUUGAGAACGGCCCAG
rnacentral:rRNA from 1 species